rnacentral:rRNA from 1 species
GACGAACGCUGGCGGCGUGCCUAAUACAUGCAAGUAGAACGCUGAAGAGAGGAGCUUGCUCUUCUUGGAUGAGUUGCGAACGGGUGAGUAACGCGUAGGUAACCUGCCUGGUAGCGGGGGAUAACUAUUGGAAACGAUAGCUAAUACCGCAUAAAAUGGAUUAUCGCAUGAUAAUGCAUUGAAAGGUGCAAAUGCAUCACUACCAGAUGGACCUGCGUUGUAUUAGCUAGUUGGUGGGGUAACGGCUUACCAAGGCGACGAUACAUAGCCGACCUGAGAGGGUGAUCGGCCACACUGGGACUGAGACACGGCCCAGACUCCUACGGGAGGCAGCAGUAGGGAAUCUUCGGCAAUGGACGGAAGUCUGACCGAGCAACGCCGCGUGAGUGAAGAAGGUUUUCGGAUCGUAAAGCUCUGUUGUAAGAGAAGAACGAGUGUG